UUACGCUGGAUCUAUCAAAAU
ensembl:piRNA 21ur-506 ncRNA